rnacentral:sRNA from 1 species
GUCUCUGACCUGUUCCUCCUCCGAGGUGACCUCUAUCCUGAAUUUUGAAAACAUAUUAGUAUUGCCUGUUUCUGGACUUUGUGCAGAUGAAGUCAUUGGUUCUCCCUCUGUCACCCAGAGCUGGAGUGCGGUGGCAUAAUCACAGCUAAUUGCAGCCUCAACAUUCCAGGCCCAAGGAUCCUCCCUUCAGCCUUCCAGAUGGAGUGUCGCUCUCUCACCCAGGCUGGAGUGCAGUGGCGCUAUCUUGGCUCACUGCAACAUCUGCUUCCCAGGUUCAAGUGAUUAUCCUGCCUCAGCCUCCCAAGUUGCUGGGAUUACAGGCGUGUGCCACCACGCCUGGCUAAUUUACUAAACUAAUAAAUUACUAAAUUAGUAAGUUACUAGUAAAUUAGUAAUUACUAAAAUAUAAUUUUUAGUAGAGAUGGGAUUUCAUCAUGUUGGCCAGGCUGGUCAUGAACUCCUGACCUCAAUGGAUCCUCCUGCCUCAGCUUCCUGAGUAGCUGGGACCACAGGUGCACACCACCACGCCCAGGUAAUUAAUUUUUAUUUUUUGUAGAGUCGGGGGUCUCCCUAUGUUUCCCAGGCUGGCCUCGAACUCCUGACCUCAAGUGAUCCUCCCACCUCAGCCUCCCCGAGUGCUGGGAUUAAAGACGUGAGCCACGGCACCUGGCCUGAAUUUUCCUCAAAUUCAAAAAAUCCUGAUGAAGGUUUGGCUAAAAUCUUUGGUGAGUUACCCCACUCCCUGUGGAACCUCAGGCUGGAUUUGAAGAGUUGCGUGCAUGGUCCUCAUUGUCUCCCAGGUAACCUGUUCCCGCUGCUGUGAAGGGAAGGCAGGUGCUCUUCCUUGAGGCUAGAAUCUGUCUACGUGUCACAGUCUCAGGAAAUUAAGCAAAACAGAUGAUAAACACCUCAAAAGGACCCUACUGAGCAUC